GAAAUUGUAGAGGCGUAAUAGAGAAGGAUAAUUCAGAAUACCAUAUUUUACAAAAAGUAAUUAUGUACACAUAAAAAUAAACUCUUUAAAUAAUCAAUACUGAUAAUUUAUAAUAAAAUUUUAGUUAAAAUAUUUAAAUCAUUCUACCACAACAUAGAAAAAUAAAAAAAUCAAAAAUCUCUAGAAAGAGCAAAAUAGAAUAUUAAACAAAGAAAUAACUUUCAAACUUUAUUUUUAUUUCAGUUUUCAUAUAUAUAUAUAUAUAUAAUUGUAUUACAUCUUAUGGCCCAGUACACUAUAGAAUACCCCAUUUGCAUAGCAUGACAUAUAGAGCCUACAUAUAUAUAUUUUAAAUAAGUCAUCGCCUCUAGGUCGACUAGAACACUCAUCGGAAGAAAGGGAGGAAGAAACAGAUGUAGAAAUAGAAACAACUUCCGAAACGAAGGGGAAUAAACAGGAACAAGAGGGAUCCAACGUAAACGAUGGAUACUGGGCGCUGUGCGUAUCGACCCGUGCAGUGCUGUAGCUAACGCGUUAAGUAUCCCGCCUGGGGAGUACGUUCGCAAGAAUGAAACACAAAGGAAUUGAUGGGGGCUCGCAUAAGCGGUAGAGCAUGUGGUUUAAUUCGAUGCAAAGCGAAGAACCUUACCAGGGCUUGACAUGCCGCGAAUCCUCUUGAAAGAGGAAGGAUGCCUUCGGGAACGCGGACACAGGUGGUGCAUGGAUGUCGUCAGCUCGUGCCGUAAGGUGUUGGGUUAAGUACUGCAAUGAGCGCAGCCCUUGUGCUUAGUUGCCACUGUUGAGUUUGAAAGACUGAGCAAACUGCCGGUGAUAAGCCGGAGGAAGGUGAGGAUGAUGUCAAGUCAUCAUGACCCUUAUGCUCUGGGCGACACACAUGCUACAAUGGCCGGGACAAAGGGUCAAUCCCGCGAGGGUGAGCUAACUCCAAAAACCCAUCCUCAGUUCGGAUUGCAAGCUGCAACUCGCCUGCAUGAAGCUGGAAUCGCUAGUAAUCACCAGUCAGUCAUACGGCUGUGAAUUCGUUCCCAGGCCUUGUACACACCGCCCGUCACACUAUGGGAGCUGGCCAUGCCCGAAGUCAUUACUUUAACCGCAAGGAGGGGGAUGCCGAAGGUGGUUAAGAUCCUUUAUCUAAGGACGGCGAAGGUGGUCAAUU
rnacentral:rRNA from 1 species